UACGGAGGGGGCUAGCGUUGUUCGGAAUUACUGGGCGUAAAGCGCACGUAGGCGGCUUUGUAAGUUAGAGGUGAAAGCCCGGGGCUCAACUCCGGAAUUGCCUUUAAGACUGCAUCGCUAGAAUUGUGGAGAGGUAAGUGGAAUUCCGAGUGUAGAGGUGAAAUUCGUAGAUAUUCGGAAGAACACCAGUGGCGAAGGCGACUUACUGGACACAUAUUGACGCUGAGGUGGCGAAAGCGUGGGGAGCAAACAGGG
rnacentral:rRNA from 1 species